AAUCGAUAGGGAGGCAAGAGACAACCUGGCGAACUGAAACAUCUUAGUAGCCAGAGGAAAAGAAAGCAAAAGCGAUUCCCUGAGUAGUGGCGAGCGAAACGGGAACAGCCUAAACCGCCUUCUUUCAGGAGGCGGGGUUGUGGGAGAGCGAUAUAAGCUAAGAGUUACUAGACGAAGCAGCUGAGUCCUGCACCUUAGAUGGUGAUAGUCCAGUAGUUGAAAGUAUCUCUAGCUAACGCUAAUACCCGAGUAGCAUGGGGCACGUGAAAUCCCGUGUGAAUCAGCGAGGACCACCUCGUAAGGCUAAAUACUCCUGGGUGACCGAUAGUGAAGUAGUACCGUGAGGGAAAGGUGAAAAGAACCCCCAUCGGGGAGUGAAAUAGAACAUGAAACCGUAAGCCUCCAAGCAGUGGGAGGAGAAUGGAAUCUCUGACCGCGUGCCUGUUGAAGAAUGAGCCGGCGACUUAUAGGCAGUGGCCUGGUUAAGGCGUUAAGCCGGAGCCGUAGCGAAAGCGAGUCUUUCUAGGGCGAAUGUCACUGCUUAUGGACCCGAACCCGGGUGAUCUAACCAUGGCCAGGGUGAAGCUUGGGUGAAGCCAAGUGGAGGUCCGAACCGACUGAUGUUGAAAAAUCAGCGGAUGAGCUGUGGUUAGGGGUGAAAUGCCACUCGAACUCGGAGCUAGCUGGUUCUCCCCGAAAUGCGUUGAGGCGCAGCGGUUGACUGGACUGCCUAGGGGUAAAGCACUGUUUCGGUGCGGGCUGCGAAAGCGGUACCAAAUCGAGGCAAACUCUGAAUACUAGGUAAGACAUCGGUCAGCCAGUGAGACGGUGGGGGAUAAGCUUCAUCGUCGAGAGGGAAACAGCCCAGACCACCAGCUAAGGCCCCUAAAUGACCGCUCAGUGGCAAAGGAGGUGAGAGUGCAAAGACAGCCAGGAGGUUUGCCUAGAAGCAGCCACCCUUGAAAGAGUGCGUAAUAGCUCACUGAUCGAGCGCUCUUGCGCCGAAGAUGAACGGGACUAAGCGGUCUGCCGAAGCUGUGGGAUGUCCUUUAGGGCAUCGGUAGGGGAGCGUUCCGCAAACGGGAGAAGCAUCAGUGCAAACAGGUGUGGACGAAGCGGAAGUGAGAAUGUCGGCUUGAGUAACGCAAACAUUGGUGAGAAUCCAAUGCCCCGAAAACCCAAGGGUUCCUCCGCAAGGCUCGUCCACGGAGGGUGAGUCAGGGCCUAAGAUCAUGCCAAACGGCGCAGUCGAUGGACAACAGGUCAAGAUUCCUGUACUGCCCCUUGUCGGCAAUAAGAGGGACGGAGGAGGCUAAGCUAGCCGAACAAUGGUCAUCGGUUCAAGGGCCAGAAAGCCUGAGUACUAGGCACCUACGGGGCCGAAGUAGCUGAUGCCACGCUCCCAAGAAAAGCUCUUACGCCAAUAUUGACACGAAGUGUGUCUACCCCGAAAGGUCCUAUGACGGAGGAUUGACGAAGGAAAUGGGAUCAMCCGCGUAGGGGCAAUAAGACAAGUGGGCACCUGUACCCGAAACCGACACAGGUGGGUAGGUAGAGAAUACCUAGGGGCGCGAGACAACUCUCUCUAAGGAACUCGGCAAGAUGGCCCCGUAACUUCGGGAGAAGGGGUGCCCCUCUGGGGCCGCAGUGACCAGGCCCAGGCGACUGUUUACCAAAAACACAGGUCUCCGCAAAGUCGAAAGACGACGUAUGGGGGCUGACGCCUGCCCAGUGCCGGAAGGUUAAGGAAGUCGGUGACUCGAAUACGGGGAAGCUGGCGACCGAAGCCCCGGUGAACGGCGGCCGUAACUAUAAACCAGACCGAUUGUAGUUAUAAAAUUUAGCUAUGUGCUGGAAAACCUCGUGGAUGGUUCGCUACUCGUUGAUUUUUGGCCUCCUGUCGAGACAGAAUGACUGUCUCCUUCAAAGACGCCACAACAGUGACAAUGUGAAUCGGAGAGACAAUCAGCAGGAAAGACUUUCAUGAACAAAAUAACUCCUCCCAUACGGGAGCCAGAGGACAAAGGUUGUUUACAAUCCGGACAUAUUCAUCAAGUACCACCAGAAAAGGGUUAUUACAUUGCCGGCUUUGUUGAUGGCGAAGGCAGCUUCUAUCUCAGUGCUCGAAAACGCACCGAUUAUUGUCGGAUGGAGGUUGAUCUUCACUUCAACGUCAUAUCAGACCUAGCAGUACUGAAUUGUAGGAAAUAUCUUGGUGCGCACCAUUCGACAACACGACCAGACUGUAUACGCUGAAGUGGAAGUAGUAAACAUCGCCGUUAUCAUUCCUUUCUUCAAGAGAUUGUUUCUCUCGAAUAAGAAAAAGCUGAAUUUCGAAUCUUUCAACAAGCUUUCGAUCUUCUUGAGCAGGGAAUUCGUACGCCACAMCAGCUGGAUCAAUUGCUCCGAUUGCGCCAAAAACUCAAUAAACUCCGACAGACUCGAAUCACGAACACUGAUGCAAUAAUUCUCGAGAGUUUCCAUUUUGUGAAAGAAUCCCCAGAGACUAUACGCUAAACGAGAUCUUUAGUUGAUCUUGAUGAUAUAGUCCGAUCUCUAUGGUGACAUAGAGGCCAGCUCUUGAAAGAAAUGGCACACAAAAACGAUUCAACAACACCUUCCUCCAACUAGGUUGUUUACAAUCCGUCGUUUUUGCUGUUAACAAAAUGAACGGUCCUAAGGUAGCGAAAUUCCUUGUCGGGUAAGUUCCGACCCGCACGAAAGGCGUAACGAUCUGGGCACUGUCUCGGAGAGAGGCUCGGUGAAAUAGACUUGUCUGUGAAGAUGCGGACUACCUGCACCUGGACAGAAAGACCCUAUGAAGCUUUACUGUUCCCUGGGAUGGGGUUUGGGCCCUUCUUGCGCAGUCUAGGUGGGAGGCGAAGACGGCGUCCUUCCGGGGACGCUCGAGCCGAAGAUGAGAGACCACCCUAGAAGGGCUAGGAUUCUAACCUUAUGCCUAGAAGAAGGCUAGGGGACAGUCCCAGGUAGACAGUUUCUAUGGGGCGUAGGCCUCCCAAAGGGUAACGGAGGCGUGCAAAGGUUUCCUCAGGCUGGACGGAAAUCAGCCUUCGAGUGCAAAGGCAGAAGGGAGCUUGACUGCAAGACCUACACGUCGAGCAGGGACGAAAGUCGGCCUUAGUGAUCCGNNGGUUCCGAGUGGAAGGGCCGUCGCUCAACGGAUAAAAGUUANNCUAGGGAUAACAGGCUGAUCUUCCCCAAGAGUUCACA
rnacentral:rRNA from 1 species